GCCGGGGUAGCUCAAUCGGUCGAGCGAGGCCAUAGCGGCCGAGUAUGCUGGUUCGAAUCCAGCCCCGGCUCCA
rnacentral:tRNA from 1 species